AAGACUAUACUUUCAGGGAUCAUUUCUAUAGUUCGUUACUUUUCUAUUCGCUCCUUAAGAUACAAAUAUAGAAGAAAAUAAGUUUCUGCCUUCAAGACUUCCAGA
ensembl:snoRNA LOC120098418 small nucleolar RNA U3